AUACGGAGGGGGCUAGCGUUGUUCGGAUUUACUGGGCGUAAAGCGCACGUAGGCGGUUUGGAAAGUCAGAUGUGAAAUCCCAGGGCUCAACCCUGGAACUGCAUUUGAAACUAUCAGACUAGAGAUUGGGAGAGGUAAGUGGAAUUCCGAGUGUAGAGGUGAAAUUCGUAGAUAUUCGGAGGAACACCAGAGGCGAAGGCGACUUACUGGACCAAUACUGACGCUGAGGUGCGAAAGCGUGGGGAGCAAACAGGAUUAGAUACCCCGGUAGUCC
rnacentral:rRNA from 1 species